ACCUGGGUGGCUCAGUCAGUUAAGCAUCUGACUUCUGCUCAGGUCAUGAUCUCACGGUUUGUGGGUUUGAGCCCCACGUCAGGCU
rnacentral:tRNA from 1 species